rnacentral:rRNA from 1 species
AUUGAACGCUGGCGGCAUGCCUUACACAUGCAAGUCGAACGGCAGCACGGGUGCUUGCACCUGGUGGCGAGUGGCGAACGGGUGAGUAAUACAUCGGAACAUGUCCUGUAGUGGGGGAUAGCCCGGCGAAAGCCGGAUUAAUACCGCAUACGAUCUACGGAUGAAAGCGGGGGACCUUCGGGCCUCGCGCUAUAGGGUUGGCCGAUGGCUGAUUACCUAGUUGGUGGGGUAAAGGCCUACCAAGGCGACGAUCAGUAGAUGGUCUGAGAGGACGACCAGCCACACUGGGACUGAGACACGGCCCAGACUCCUACGGGAGGCAGCAGUGGGGAAUUUUGGACAAUGGGCGAAAGCCUGAUCCAGCAAUGCCGCGUGUGUGAAGAAGGCCUUCGGGUUGUAAAGCACUUUUGUCCGGAAAGAAAUCCUUGGCUCUAAUACAGUCGGGGGAUGACGGUACCGGAAGAAUAAGCACCGGCUAACUACGUG